AUGUAUGUAUGUGUGUGUCGGGUUAAACACUUUACAUUUCACAUUUGACGGACGCAUCGAAGAAAAGUGCAACUCAACUGGCGCUACAAACAAGACAAUGAGUGUGUGUGUGUGAGUUCGUGUGUGCGUUUGUGUAUGUAAGAGGGGCUUGGAUUAGUUAGACGAGGCUGUUAUUUGCAUGCUGUUAAUGCACAUUUAACAUUCCUCUCUCAUGACAGAGAGAAAGAGAGAGAGAGGGCAACAAUUGACCAACUAUCUGCAUCUGUGUGGGAAUGUGAGAGCGUAUGUAGGUAUUUCUGGGUGUGUUUGUGUGAAGCUAAGAACAAAAUAUUAGGAUAUAAAAAUCAAAAGCGUGUGUAGUAAGUAGGCAAUGUAAAUGUUAAGUCAAAACUGUAAAUAAGUAUUGGUAUUGGGCUAGUAGUAAGCGGACAAUUGAGUUAUUGAGAGCGUGUGCGGAACGCACUCAAGGACAAAAAACACACAUGUCUUUUUACUUUGGUUUACUCACAAGGGAGUCUCCACAACACCGACUUAUAGACACACAUCUUAUAAGGGCGUUGAGACUCUGACAAUAUAGAGAACAUGAUACACAAAACAAAACGUGUAUAUUAAUUCAUACAGAGGAGAAAUUAAAAACAGAACAAAAAACAUCGUCAGUGAAAUAUUGAUAGGUUUGUGGAAUACGUGGAAUAUGCUCAGAAAUGCACUAAAUUCCAACAAAUAACAAUCAUGCAAAUACAUAACAUAUAAAUACAUAUACGACACAGAGAGAGAGAGAGCUAGAUGGAGAGACAGAGACAGAGGACGAGCGGAAACUACAAAAGCAAUAAUGAGUGAAUUAGUUACAAAUAAGUAAUAAUAAUACUACUUGAAGUUGAAUACCACACACACAAAUUGAACGUCGAAAGCGUUGUUUAUUUUGUUCACUGCAUACAUUUGUAAAAAUCCAGAUAUACCAAAGAUAAAUAUUUAAUGUAUUUAUAUAUACUACAUACUAUAAAGGUGCAUAUAAUACAAACAGUUCGUUUAUUAUU